GCUUAAACCAUGCAUUUCUAAUUUGUUUGAGAUGUGGGCAAAGCAACUGUUUUGUGCAACUGAUCAUGCAGGGAGACUGGCAUUUAAUAUCUUGCUUGUUGAUGUACAAUACCAGCACAGUUCCUGCCUGGAUUUAACAGAGAAAAAACACCCAGCAAAUACAGCCUCAGAGUGAGUUGAGACCUUAAGUGCCAGUUAAUAAGAAAGAAGAUGCCGGACGCAGAGACUGGCGAGGAAGGAAGAACAACCUUCAGAACACGGCCAAAGAGCCUGA